UUUGGCUCGUUUGGGCUCCUGAUUGGCCCUGACCCGGCGUUUGGGGCGGAGCCGCGCCAUCUGAUUGGUCUCCCGUGAGUCUGUUUGAACUCAACUUGAAAACCUUGAGUGCCAGCUGAUUGGCUGAGGCGCCUCUAUUUGCUGUUGUAGUCUUGGGGGGUGGUGCGGCCAAGUUCAUUCAUUACUUCAUUGAAACUGAACAUGCUCAGCUGGAAAAGCAAGACAGAGUGGCUUUGACUCACUUCCUCUGAAAGAUGUGGUCAUCUCGAGAAACACAGUGAUCAAAAUAGGAAACAGAGUCUUUGAAGCUGCUCAACUCAAAAUUGUUUAUUUUUUUUAAACUUUCAAGCCGCUUUACUUUUUUUUUUUUUGGCUUUUUAUUGAAGUGUAAUGUAAUCUCUUCAUGCCUCCUUCCAGUCCAACCCACCCCAAAAGCCCAACAGCCUUUCCCUACGUUUUUAGGCCAAAAACUUGGCUUUCUGAAGAUGUAAACUAAUGUUAAUGUACAUUAAAUAUAAUCGAAAGGAGAAAAUGAGACUUUCUCAGACACCAAUAUUGAAAACUAAAAAAAAAAAAAAAAAUGUUUUUCCAUAAAUUGAUUGACCUAACUGAACUUUGUUUCUAUACAGGUACUGGCUCUCAACUCUAGACAUUUAAAAACAAAGUUUAUUUAUAUACACUGAGCUUCCAUCUUCUGAAUUAGAUUUAACCUUCAAGUUUUGUGCUUGGGAAUUGUCAGGAUGGGAAAAGAACUAGGAGUUUAAGCAGACUGAAGACAGGCCAGAGAAUUUAGAAAGGUAAAUAAACAUUGCUAGGAAUUCACUGUGAGAAUUUCUGUUUCUGAAAAACUUUGUAAGUUCUGGAUCUAAAAUACCAAUCAAAGAGAACAUUAUAAUUAAUUAUGAGUCUUCAGAACAGGAGGCUAAAAGAAAGGAAGCCAUGAUUCUAUUUUGACUUUGCCUGAAGUGGAUUUAACUCUCCAUCUAAGAAAACCUAACCAUAUUAAAAAAAAAAAAAAAAAAGAAUAUAAAUAAGGAAAAAGUUACACCCAAUGUUUAUGUACUGAAGAAAACCAGCUUCAGGCACUAAAAUGAGUUUGUCCCAUUUAGUUAGUCCCUUUGUUUGUUUAUUUUGAAGGAGCAGGAGUCAGCUUUUUGCCUGCCCAGACCCAUUUCUGUUGCCGUAAUUGUACUUCGCUCCCUCCAAGUUUGCAUGGGCUGAGACCUGGAGUAUGGCUGAAGAGUCAAGUACAGCUUGCAGCCCUUCCCUUCCAGUAAUUGCAAGGUGAAAACAAAAGUGAGCAGCCCGCAGCUGCCGUUUGCCAGGGAGCCUGGGCCACAAGCAGCCUCAGAACAAGGAAGUACUGUCACGGGCACAGCUGUAGACGCCCAGCAGAGGCAUGGAAGACCAGGCCCCCGAGCCGUUCUGGUUAUCUGCUGCGGACAUAAAGUCAACUUGGGCAGAGAAAGCAACAGAAUUCUGCCUCUGAUUUGUAGCUGGCACCUUGGAGCAGAUGAUGGACUUUUGCUGUUUCCUGACCCCAAGAGCUCACGCCACAUAGAUCACUCUCUGGACCAAGCAGGGUGCUGUUAAUAAACACAGGGCAGCUUUCCACAUAAAGAGGAAGGAAGUUUCUACUGAGAAUGAGAACUCUGGGUUGUACACAACAACUGGGAAACUACCAGAACGCGCCUUUGUCACCAGCAAUACCCAUGUCCAUCAAGCCUUGAGAGCAGCCAGAGGAAAUCCUAUGACCUGUCCUUGGGGAGCUGCCAGACCAGAGCCGCGCUACUGACCAGGCUGUGCACAGAGCCCAGUCAUCAAACAGGAUUGUGCAAGGAUUUCUGUCCAGACCUGAAGGCUCUUAAAGAGCACAGGCGUCACCAAAGUGUCUAUAGGAGAGAAGUUUAAGGCCAAGAAAGACCUAGGAGGGGUAUCAAAGGGCUUGUUGAAAAUGGUCCUAAUUCAGAUAAGGAGAAGAGGUAGAAGGAAGUGGGAUGAGGAAGGUAGGUUAAACUUACAGGGACUUCCCUGGUGGUCCAGUGGCUAAGACUCCAUGCUCCCAAUGCAGGGGGCACCGGUUCAGUCCCUGGUCAGGAAACUAGAUCCGACAUGCUGUGACUAAAGAUCCCACGUGCCACAAUUAUGACCUGGCACAACCAAAUCAAUAAAUAAAUAUUAAAAAAAAAAACAUGGAGAGGCAAAGUGAAGGUGAGGUGGAGAGCCAUCCCCAUGUGUUGCCCUUUUCACUGGUGGCCCUACAGAAAGAACUACUCUGCUAACUGGGUGACCAGCAGGCCUGGCCAAGGGACAGGUUUUCCUCAUGGAAGCUGGUAGGACUGGUAAUCUGUGGGUAAGACCUGGGGCUUUAGGCUCAGGUGAACCUCAGGCAGGUUCCUGCUCCCUCACCUGGUUGAGUGAGUUUCAGGUUCUUCAUCUGGGAAAUGGGAACAAUAACCAUACUUAUCGCUUCAGGGUUGUUUUGAAGAUUAAAUG